AUUGAACGCUGGCGGAAUGCUUUACACAUGCAAGUCGAGCGGAAGCACGGGGGCAACCCUGGUGGCGAGCGGCGAACGGGUGAGUAAUACAUCGGAACAUGCCCAGUCGUGGGGGAUAACACUUCGAAAGAAGUGCUAAUACCGCAUACGUCCUGAGGGAGAAAGCGGGGGAUCUUCGGACCUCGCGCGAUUGGAGUGGCCGAUGUCAGAUUAGCUAGUUGGUGGGGUAAAGGCCUACCAAGGCAACGAUCUGUAGCUGGUCUGAGAGGAUGAUCAGCCACACUGGGACAGAGACACGGCCCAGACUCCUACGGGGGGGAGAAGGGGGGAAUAUUGGACAAUGGGCGGAAGCCUGAUCCAGCCAUGCCGCGUGUGUGAAGAAGGCCUUUUGGUUGUAAAGCACUUUAAGCGAGGAGGAGGCUACCUGGAUUAAUACUCUAGGAUAGUGGACGUUACUCGCAGAAUAAGCACCGGCUAACUCUGUGCCAGCCGCCGCCGUAAAAC
rnacentral:rRNA from 1 species